rnacentral:lncRNA from 1 species
UGGGGGGGGGCUAUGGUUUUUUUUUUCUGUACAAACUUUUUUUUUCGCCUGCGGCGAAAAAACAAUCUAUUUUUUUCGCGACAAGUCGAAAACAAUUUUUUUCUUUCAAUUUUAGCAUUACAUAUAGUGGCAGCUGAGGGUGAAACAAACAUUUUUUUUUCUCAGAAUCAAAAACAAAUUAUUUUUUUCUCCAAAAACUGGAAACAAAC